UACGUAGGGGGCAAGCGUUGUCCGGAAUCAUUGGGCGUAAAGCGCGUGUAGGCGGCUCGAUAAGUCUGCUGUGAAAGUCCAAGGCUCAACCUUGGGAUGCCGGUGGAUACUGUCGAGCUCGAGUCCGGAAGAGGAGUGUGGAAUUCCUGGUGUAGCGGUGAAAUGCGCAGAUAUCAGGAGGAACACCAAUGGCGAAGGCAGCACUCUGGGACGUGACUGACGCUGAGGAGCGAAAGCAUGGGGAGCGAACAGG
rnacentral:rRNA from 1 species